GACGAACGCUGGCGGCGUGCUUAACACAUGCAAGUCGAGCGGAGCGGCGAACGGGUGAGUAACGCGCGAGUAACUGCCCCCCUCUCUGGGAAAACAGUUGGAAACGGCUGCCAAUACCGGAUAGUGGGGGAUGACUCGCGUCCUAUCAGCUUGUUGGUGGGGUAGGGGCCUACCAAGGGGACGACGGGUAGCCGGCCUGGGAGGGCGACCGGCCACAUUGGGCUGAGAGACGGCCCAGACGCCAACGGGAGGCAGCAGUGGAGAGUAUUGCACAAUGGGGGAAACCCUGAUGCAGCGACGCCGCGUGCGGGAUGACGGCCUUCGGGUUGUAAACCGCUUUCAGCCAUUACGCGGUAGUGGCAGAAGAAGCACCGGCUAACUACGUGCCAGCAGCCGCGGUAAUAC
rnacentral:rRNA from 1 species